rnacentral:rRNA from 1 species
GACUGUGGUCAUACCACCCUGAAUGUGCUUGAAUCGUCUGAUCUUGGGAGCCAAGCAGGACCGGGGCUGGUUAGUACUUAGAGAGGAGAAAACUGAAGCACAGAGA